AUGUUCACUUAAGUAGCACCUAUAUUGAAAAUAGAAUGAUACAGAGCAGAUUAACAUGGCCCUGCACAAGGAUGGCAUGCAAAUUUCUGAAGCAUUUCAUAUUAAA
rnacentral:snRNA from 1 species